AUUGAACGCUGGCGGCAGGCCUAACACAUGCAAGUCGAGCGGAUGAGAAGAGCUUGCUCUUCGAGUUAGCGGCGGACGGGUGAGUAAUGCCUAGGAACCUGCCUGGUAGUGGGGGACCACGUUUCGAAAGGAACGCUAAUACCGCAUACGUCCUACGGGAGAAAGCAGGGGACCGUCGGGCCUUGCGCUAUUAGAUGAGCCUAGGUCGGAUUAGCUAGUUGGUGAGGUAAUGGCUCACCAAGGCGACGAUCCGUAACUGGUCUGAGAGGAUGAUCAGUCACACUGGAACUGAGACACGGUCCAGACUCCUACGGGAGGCAGCAGUGGGGAAUAUUGGACAAUGGGCGAAAGCCUGAUCCAGCCAUGCCGCGUGUGUGAAGAAGGUCUUCGGAUUGUAAAGCACUUUAAGUUGGGAGGAAGGGCAGUAAGCGAAUACCUUGCUGUUUUGACGUUACCGACAGAAUAAGCACCGGCUAACUCUGUGCCAGCCGCCGCUGUAACAC
rnacentral:rRNA from 1 species